ACUUGAAUUCAUUAAAUGUUGGUAGAAAGAAGAGCUCUAAUCUCUGGAGAGGAACGCUGAGGGAUUGUGGGUAUUUUCAUCUCCCCACAAACACUGAGCGCCUCAUUAGCAAGGGCUGGAUUCAAAUAGAGUAAGGAAAGGAGCUUCAAUGCUUCCUUACUUGGCUCCUGAGGAACCACUGGACCUUUUUCUACAAAAGGACAGGAGAUAAUUCUGUCCCACAAUUCCUUGAGACAGCAAUAUUAAAAUUUACGAGGUGCAAACUACAAUUUCUCCGAAAAUGGGCUACAAAGAAGCAGCUUAGAUGAAGUAAGGAAGCAUCGGAGCUCCUUUUCUUGUGAACAGCUCUCAUCAUGACACCACUUACACUACUUCCGGGUCAUUCGCCAACUCCAAUCCAGCACGGCUCACAGGUCUCAUACUUGGACUUUUUAAUCCGACCCGCCGAACUUGUCCAAAUAUUUAAAAAAGAAAAAGAAAAAAAGUAUAAAAGGUUAAUAUUUAUAUUAAUGAAAUACUGUUUUGUGACAGAAACCUGUAGAACUUGCUUUUAUUGUGAAACUCUUGACCAUGAAGCUUCCUGCUCUUUGAAAAGUGAUCUGUUUAUUCAGAAGCUUUAACUCGUUAAAAGUGGAAUUAGUCUGAAACAUUAAAAACAUGAAACGUUUCCAUUACACUUUAGUGAAAUCACACAAAUAUACAAACUCAGCAGAAGGCAAUGGCAAUGGUAUAAAACGGACACAGGCUAUUACAUGAAGAACACUCAUCAUCAUUACAUGUUCAACUAAAUUAAACUAAAUAAAAAACAAGGCAACGGAGAAUGGUAUCAAAACAUGGGCCCUGGCUACAUCCUGGGAGGCGCUGCAUGAAGGCGACGUGGCUGUGAUGUCAUCACGUGCAUGUUUUGAUUGGCCAAUGACAGACGACGGUCGAUGAGAAGACCCCCGAAACGCAGCCAGAAUUAACGACCUCUCCUGAAAUGAGAGACGGGUCCGGAGUGAGGCAGCGGCCGAGGACCCCUAAGAGGACCCAGAGGGGCCUAACGUGGACCAGAAGGGGGCUUGACAGGUGGAGUUAUCGCCGGAUCAAUAACAUAAAGAAAUAAUAAUGAUAAUAAUUCUAGUAUGGUACAGUAAAGACAUCUGACCCCCCUUUACGCUCAGCGAGUCCAGUGGUUUUGCUGUCGCUGUGAUACAAUGACACGGCCGGGUCGGCCAAUCACUGGGAGUGGGAGGGCCUUGGCAAGGGGGCGGGGUCAGGAAACUCCCAUAGCUAUUCAAUGGGAGGUCAGUGCAACAAGUUAUUGAUGAUAAUCUAUGGAUGGGUCGCUAUGUUUGAUCUCUGAUCAAUAUAAAAGUCAGAAAAUAGAUCAUCCCCAGAAUGCACCAGUGUGUGUGUGUGUGUGUGUGUGUGUGUGUGUGUCUCAGUGAGUGUGUAUGUGUGUCGUCUCUACAAACCAAUGAAACUGUGUUGGUCCACCAACAAUAAAUAUCACUCGUCUAAAAAAUAAAUUAGAGGAGAAAUACAAACGAUAAAUAAAUAUCUGACCGCAGGACAACGUUGGACUCUGAGCCACAUUGCUUUGUAUUCUGUUCCAGGAAUUAGACGUGGCCAACGGCCUCUUAAGUCUCAUUUACCUCCCCCCUGCUGUGUGCUGCGCGCGCGCGCACACACACACGCACACACACACACACACACACACUUCUUGCCCCCCAGCUUCUUCCUCUUUAUCAUCUCCUGUUAAUGUGACCUAGUUUCAGGUGCACAGUGGAUUAAACUCCAACACUUUCUCCCCCAUUUCCUCUCCUUUCU
ensembl:lncRNA